UACGUAGGGGGCAAACGUUGUCCGGAUUUACUGGGCGUAAAGAGCGUGUAGGCGGCCAAACAGGUCCGUUGUGAAAACUGGAGGCUCAACCUCCAGACGUCGACGGAAACCGUGUGGCUAGAGUCCGGAAGAGGAGAGUGGAAUUCCUGGUGUAGCGGUGAAAUGCGCAGAUAUCAGGAAGAACACCAAUGGCGAAGGCAGCUCUCUGGGACGGUACUGACGCCGAGACGCGAAAGCGUGGGGAGCGAACAGG
rnacentral:rRNA from 1 species